GGGGAUGUAGCUCAGUGAUAGAGUGCUUGCCUGGCAUGUGUGUAGCCCUAGGUUAGAUUCCCAGUACCACCA
rnacentral:tRNA from 1 species